UACGUAGGGUCCGAGCGUUGUCCGGAAUUAUUGGGCGUAAAGAGCUCGUAGGCGGUUUGUCGCGUCUGCUGUGAAAUCCCGAGGCUCAACCUCGGGUCUGCAGUGGGUACGGGCAGACUGGAGUGCGGUAGGGGAGAAUGGAAUUCCUGGUGUAGCGGUGGAAUGCGCAGAUAUCAGGAGGAACACCGAUGGCGAAGGCAGCUCUCUGGGCCGUAACUGACGCUGAGGAGCGAAAGCGUGGGGAGCGAACAGG
rnacentral:rRNA from 1 species